rnacentral:rRNA from 1 species
GACGAACGCUGGCGGCGUGCUUAACACAUGCAAGUCGAACGAAGAGCGACGGAAGCUUGCUUCUAUCAAUCUUAGUGGCGAACGGGUGAGUAACGCGUAAUCAACCUGCCCUUCAGAGGGGGACAACAGUUGGAAACGACUGCUAAUACCGCAUACGAUCUAAUCUCGGCAUCGAGGAUGGAUGAAAGGUGGCCUCUACAUGUAAGCUAUCACUGAAGGAGGGGAUUGCGUCUGAUUAGCUAGUUGGAGGGGUAACGGCCCACCAAGGCGAUGAUCAGUAGCCGGUCUGAGAGGAUGAACGGCCACAUUGGGACUGAGACACGGCCCAGACUCCUACGGGAGGCAGCAGUGGGGAAUCUUCCGCAAUGGACGAAAGUCUGACGGAGCAACGCCGCGUGAGUGAUGACGGCCUUCGGGUUGUAAAGCUCUGUUAAUCGGGACGAAAGGCCUUCUUGCGAAUAGUGAGAAGGAUGGAC